UCAUAAAGCAAUGGAAACUACCAGGACAAGCCCAGAAGCCUUAAAUUUAACCAAGAUCCAAAAUAAGAAUUAAGGCCAAGCAAGCACCAAUCAAGAGACACAAUGCUAUAAGACAAUCGGGCUGAGAAACAUUAUGAAAAUAGUGUCAUUGGUGAUUGUUGGGGUGACAUUUAUUGCACUGUUAGUGAAACUUAAGUGAAAAUUAAGUAAGAACUCCUUGGGGCUGAAACAGGCUUAUGUGCACUCAACCUGACAGUAUAACUAGCAUAGUAUUUUUUCCAAGCACAUUUAACACAUACAUGUAGUAAAAUAUGAAAGAUGAAAAUGGUCAUACAAGUUUGUUGUGUUUGGGGUCUUUCAAUAAAAGAUCUGAUGUUUCCCUCCCAGGUGGUAGUUAUCUGUAGAUCUGUUAAGUUAUACCUGCUGUAAUGUCCAUAAAACAAGAGAGCCGCGGAACAAACACCAACAUUUCUCUCUUGAUUUACAUUCCCCAAAGGGGCACAACUCAUCAAGCAUUAAAGCCAGAAAAAUGGGCCUUGCUGAACAUAUCCACCAAGUUUCAUUUAAAUACAUCAACAUUUUUUUUCUUGUUAUUACCAUGGUAAAGUUUAUGCACAAAGACGGCACUGUUGAAGCCUUUAAAACUGACAGUACCUUUCUAUUUUUCUUUGAAAAACAGACAAUUAAAUCAAUUGUGUGUCAUUUAUAACAUUGAACAGAACAUGUGCAAAAAUUUCUUUAGGAAAAUCAAUGUCCUACAUGACUUAUAAAUUUCAAGAUUUUAUUAGUUGCAUUCCAUUUAGUUAACGUCCAUGAUGUAUUGAUAAAGACUUGUUUCAAACUUUAGUCCGAAGAAGCAGACAGGCAAUCCCAGGAAUACCAGUCCAUUCUGUUCCGCUCUUCAGCAGUAAAGACGAUAGCGACAUGUAAAAGUAACCAGACUUAGAGGAAGAUACUUGGUAGCUGAUCGCAGACUCAACAAGAAGGCUCCUGUUCUGGCUUUGAGCAAGAGUUGAAAAUCAAGGAGCUGUGAUGUACAAUAGAGGUACGCUCAAACGUGGAGGAAAUGUUCAACCCUGACCGGACCCAGUUGCCAAUAAUCUUUAUACUGCGAUUGGUUAGGAAGUCUUAUUCAGGCCAAAUGCUGCACUGGCCAAGAGCUUGGUCACAAGGAAGGAUACAGGAAGACAGUUGUGUUGAUGAACAGCAGCUAGGCAGGAACAGUACUCUG